rnacentral:rRNA from 1 species
CGCCUCUUGUAACCAUGAGAGGUCCAGCCUGCCCAGUGAUCUAAUUCAACGGCCGCGGUAUUCUAACCGUGCAAAGGUAGCGUAAUCACUUGUUUUCUAAAUAAAGACCAGUAUGAAAGGCAUCACGAAGACUUAACUGUCUCCUUUCUCCAAUCAGUGAACCUAAUCUCCCCGUGAAGAAGCGGGAAUCCCCCUAUAAGACGAGAAGACCCCGUGGAGCUUUAAACAUCAUAACAUUUGCCACUAUCUUUAACCACCCAGGUGUCUCCCCCCCUACGGCACUCUGAUUAUAUGUUUUUGGUUGGGGUGACCGUGGAGAAAAACCAAUCCCCCGCAAUGAAAGGAACCUCCCACCCUAAACAACAAGUUACAACUUUAUGUAUCAAAAAAUUGACAUUCAUUGACCCAAUAAUUGAUUAACGAACCAAGUUACCCCGGGGAUAACAGCACAAUCCACUUUAAGAGCCCCUAUCGACAAGUGGGCUUAUGACCUCGAUGUUGGAUCGGGGUAUCCUAGUGGUGCAGCCGCUACUAAAGGUUCGUUUGUUCAACGAUUAAAACCCC